CUCUCCUGUAGCUUUGGCUACCUUUGUACUUGUUUCCUCCAGCUCUUAACUGCUGGGAUCACAGGACACAGACAACACCACAGACUGUCCUCUCUCUCCACCCUCGCUGAUACCUCUGCAUCUAAUGGAUGGAGAUGGUUGGUCUAGAUUCGUGAACUGACUCAGUGUUUCCAUCUUUAGACUGAGACAGACCUCCAAGUUGGCUCUGAGCUCUUCUGGCGUGGCCUGCAGAUUCUUUGACAGAUCCCUCGCUUGCUACUAGUCCAAGAUGUUUCAGGCUGAUUUUUACACAUUUCCUGUCCCAGACAGUCCUCCACUGAGAUAAUAUUUAAAUAUAAAUAGAUCAGAGCUUUUACAAUCUCCAGCAAGACUGCUUGGAAAAUCGUGUGAUUGGACUGAGCUGCACCCGGAGAACCAGAACAUCAUGUGACUGCACUGGGCUCUGAUGGGGAGCACAGCCUGAUCAUGGAAGUCACGGGACCUUCCUAGUGUGUGUCACAUAGUGAGAAUCCUUCCUAAUUGGGCAUGGUGUCCAGUAUGGGGUUCACCAGGUACUGGAGGUCAACUUAGAAGUCAGCAGAGCCCAGCCAGCGGCCCGCGAUGGGAGUGACAGGGACUUUGGCUGGGAAGCAAAGGGUAAACUGAAUCAGGACCGAGGAAGCCAAGUCAGAGCCUGGAGUGCCUGGCAUUCCACCUCUGAGCCAAGGCAGGGUCAGCGAGCUUUCCAGAUGUUUGGUGAGUCAGCAGGAGAUGGGGACACAGUGGGGUCUUGGAAGAAGAGCAGAGCGUAAGCCAGGCAGACUGGUUCAUGCAGAGGAUUCAUCCAAACUCAGGAGACCAAGGCGAGAGGAACGAGAGGGCUAUGUGACAAGGCUCUGUCUCAGAGGAGAGGGGGGAGAAAAAGGAAAGAAAGGAGAAAGAAACAGAAAAGAGGCUGGAGCAGUGGCACUCGCUGCUCCUCCAGGGAACCAGAAUUUGGCUCCUAGAGUAGCUUACCACGGUAUCUUCAGCACCAGAGCACCCCACACCCCCUUCUUGUGCUUUCACACCCAUGACUCACACACUCAUGGACACUCACAGACACGUGCAUACACAUGGACAAGUGCAGAUGUGUGCACAUACAUGAGUACCAUACACACAUGUGGUCACAUACACAUACAUGGACACA